GCUGGGGCAGGGCGGCGAAAGGUCAGUCGGCCGAGAGGAGUCCGUGGAGCCACCGUUUCAUAGCCUCAGGGAAAGGAUCGGGCGUGCUCACGAGCCCUCUAACCCAUGGCUUAAACACCCGCUUCCUAAGCCUGGCUCAACAAACAUAAGCUGCAAAAAUCUUGCCUAUUGGAUUUUGCAGAAUUCUGUGGGAUUUGGACAUUUUUCCCUUGCCGUUUAAAACAGGUUUCAAAUUUCCUGAAUAUAUCACAUGUGGUGAUAAACAUGAAGAUGUAUGAAAAAUUGUGUUCAUUGAGAGAAAAUGGAAGGCUUUUCAUUCUACUUCCACAUUUUCAUUCCAGCAGCUUUUCUCUUUUGGAAGUUGAGUACUGAAUCUUGCAAUGAAAUUUUUUUAACUUAAACAAGGUAUAUUUUAGUGUGUUCCACUCUGGAUGACUGUCUGAUGCCGUCAUGAAUAUUCAAUUAACUUUUAUUUUUAUUUAAUUUAAUUUAUUUAUUUAUUUUUGAGAUGGAGUCCCACUCUGUCACCCAGGCUGGAGUGCAGUGGCAUGAUCUCGGCUCACUGCAACCUCUGCCUCCUGUGUUCAAGCGAUUCUCAUGCCUCAGCAUCCUGAGUAGGUGGGACUACAGGCAUGUACCACCAUGCCUAGCUAAUUUUUGUAUUUUUAAUAGAGAUGGGGUUUUACCAUGUUGGCCAGUCUGGUCUCAAACUGCUAACCUCAAGUGAUCCACCUGCCUUGGCCUACCAAAGUGCUGGGAUUACGGGCGUGAGCCACUGUGCCCAGCCAAAUAUUCAAUUAACUCUUAGAUCAGCGUUUCUGAACCUCAGCUCUGCUGACAUUUCCAGCCAGAUAAUUCUUUGUUGUGCGGGCUGUCCUGUGUGCUGUAGGAUGUUUGGCAGUAUCCCUGGCCUCUACCUACUAGAUGACAGCAUCCCUGCACAUCUCUGACAUCCAAAAAUGACUCUAGACAUUGCCAAAUAUCCCUGGGGGGUAAAAUCAUCCCCAAUUGGGAACCACUGCUUUUGAUCAUCUGGCCAUUGAUUUUUGGCCAAUAGGAUGGAGCUAUGUGACUACAAGGGUGUGUGGCCUUUCUUCUGGUAGGUGUAGGACUUCAGUCUGCCAUGCUCCUUCAUAUACUCAGUGCCUAAUUUGUGCAAGGUAGCAGCAAACCAUGAGGAGAAAGGUGGUCCAUGUCUUGAAGAAACUCAUAGUCUAACAAUUUGUAAACUAAGUUGAUUUUUCAGGUUUUGGAAAUAUGCUAGGUGAUUCUUGGUAAUGCUUUGAAGUGGUACCUUGAGCUUCUUAGAUAGCUGUGAUAAAUUUCCAAAGUUGGAUAUUAUUAUGUGUUAUCAAAAUACUUUCAAAGCAGUGGAAAACCCCUAUACUUUUCUUGAAAUUUUUCAUUGAAUAGUUGACUCUUGUGUAAGGAAUAGAUUGAAAUUUGCAGCUUUGUUUUACUGGGAUAUUUGCUUGUUGUUUUAAUGUUUAAGCCUUAUCCCUCCAAAUCUUUUAUAAAUCAACACUUGUGUUGUAGAUUUGGAGGAUAAUAACAGCACCUGUCCUGAUACAUAGAGUUCUUAUUGUUUAGACAGCUGUCUACACUGAACAUCAGCUGUCUGUACUCUGAUUUCAGGGGCGUGUAUGUGAUCUAGGUUUGGACAAUAAAAAUAUUGAACCCUCCUUCCCUGGACCUACAAUUGUUUAAGGGAAGGAAACAUGCAAAAGUUGGUAUAAAUUUCAAUUCUAAAAGAAUAAUUGUACAAUAAAAAAUCUUACAAUUGUGUAACUGAAGCUAACCUAAGUGUUCAGCUUACUAUCAAGUAUAUAAAAACUUUAAAAAGCCUUUAAAAAUAACAAAAAAUUCCAAAUACUGUAAUUAAGCAUUUGAUUCAUUUAAAAUCAAGUAUGGAGCAACAUACAAUACAGCAUUUAAUAUCACAUUUGAACUGGUAAAUCACUAGGACAACUUAGUUAAAUAGUAAUAAAAGAAUGAAUCCCCAGGAUUAUAGUAUUUCUGUGGCAUUUAUCUAGUCCUUUGUACAUAACAAAGUGAUUCAGCUCUUCAUUCAUAAAACUGUGUUAGGAAUCUGAGUUGUAUGGUUUUCUGUGUGACAAUUUAGACAUUUUAGUCUUUGCAUUCCAAAAACACUAGGAAAGUUGUUAUUUGUUUGAAAUAGAUUCCAAUGAUCUGUUCUAAUUUAUUCUGAUGAAAAGGGUAAAGGGAAAUUUCUCUGACUUCUAAACUAACUUGAGAAAUUUUCCUAUUGCCUCAGUCUGUCCUCCCACCCCUAAGGUACAUAGAAAGACAGAUAUGUGUGUACACACUAUAACAUUGUUUAAAUGAUACUCAUAUUAUUGUUCUGAAAUAGCCAUACUUUAAAUGGUUUCAGAUAAUUGGCCUCAGUUUUGCUAAUAUAAUUUAUGUAAGUCAUAUGGCUAGGUCAAAUUUAAUAGAAAAUUUGGGAAGAAAGAUAUUUAAAAAUAUAUUUUAUGAUGAAAACUAUCUUGAUAAAUUUCCUUGUUUAUUUUAUAUGAUAAAAAUCAUUGGUUGCUCCCUAAUAAAAUAUCACUUAACUUACAUUACAGUGCUGGGCAUGUAUUACAAGUUGCUCAUUUUUAGAGCUAAUUUAUGUAGCAUAUUUGCAUGUGUGUGCAUAAAAGAUUGUGACAGAGAUAAGAGAAAUAAGUGAAACGUUCACUUAUUCACAAUAUAAGUGAAUAUAAUCUAUUAAUAUUCAAAUUAAAAACUAGAUAGCAAGUCAGUAGUUCAUUUAGUUGAGAAACUUAGGGGAGGAUGGGCAACUAACAAUAACGGUACUAUUAUUAUCAUUCCUUUUUUACAGACAAGGAAAAUGAAGCGCAGAGACAUUAAAUAACUCUCUCAAGGUCAUGCAGCUGAGAAGAGAUGAGACUUGAACUCCAGUGCCAGCCCUGUUAAUCACUAUUCUGUACUGUCUUUCAGGUUCUUAUGACUUUGUUUGAAAAACAUGGUUCCCUGUGAAAUUUUACAUGUAGAAGAAAGCUUCACACUACAAGAGCUCUCAGGAUAUAAUUAUUUCAGACAGAUACUGGGAACAUAAGAUGGCUUAUCAAUCUAAGAUGGCCUUCCUGUCCUUCGGAUUGAACUGAAACCAUCCCUGAUUCCAGGGAUAGGUAGAUGAUCCAGGUUUGGACAAUCAAAAUAUUGAACCACCCUGGACCUACAAGUGUUUCUGGGAUGGGAACAUGCAAACGUUGGUCCACAUUGUUGUUCUAGGCAGCCCAGUACAUUUCUCCAAUACCUGAUGGAAUGAUAGGGUACGCAUAAAUGUUCGUGUGGGCUCUGGAGUAUACCAGGAACUGAAGUGUAAGGUACAUGGACGUCUUGAAUAUUGUAACUGAGAUGGGCAAGCCUACACCUUUGCAAAUAAAGGAGGAUUGGGAAAGAUUAAGAAUGAUUGAGUCUCAGAAUUGUUCUUUAAUCCUCAGUAUUUCCAUUAAGAAGAGCUUCUAUCAAGUGCUUCAAAAGUACCCAAUGUGAAGGAGUAAUAAUGACUCCCUGCUGCCUCUCAAGCACUGUGAAAAAUCACUUUCUCUUGUUGUAUUCUUGGAGCCCCUGCUAAUUCAUUAUUGAAAAAUACCUGCUGCCUGCAUUUGGCCUUAUGUUGUCAUUUACUUGGUACUUCCUAAGCGUGGCUACUCCAAUGAAGCUUUAGUAUAUGUACUGAAAGAAGAUCCUCUCAUACUGCCACAGCCAACAGAUAAGGUUGUAAAUCUUUAUUGGGAGAAGCCGUCAAGGACAGUUCUGUGAAAUGAAAGGAUCUCUGGAUCACCACAAAGUCUGGCUCAGUGACUAUGGCUUUGCAAACACUAAACAUUCCUAUCUCGAGUCCUGUAAAUGGCUUGAAAUAGUAUACAUAAGCAUGCCUUAUAAACAUCUUCAGUCUUUAUCAACUCUUUGGAGAUCCAGCCAUUCUUUUUUGUACUUUAGGGAAUUAAAUCAUUUUAUAAUGUAUAAAUCUGAGCAUGGCAGAUGGCAGAAGAAAUUUUGUCAUGUGUUUUUAAAGAAAUAAAAAUGUAUUAUGUUUUAAAA